UACAGAGGUGGCAAGCGUUGUUCGGAAUUACUGGGCGUAAAGGGCGCGUAGGCGGCCUUCUAAGUCAGACGUGAAAUCCCCCGGCUUAACCUGGGAACUGCGUCUGAUACUGGGAGGCUUGAGUAUGGGAGAGGGAUGUAGAAUUCCAGGUGUAGCGGUGAAAUGCGUAGAUAUUGGGAGGAACACCAGUGGCGAAGGCGGCUACCUGGACCGGUUCUGACGCUGAGGCGCGAAAGCGUGGGUAGCAAACAGG
rnacentral:rRNA from 1 species